rnacentral:rRNA from 1 species
UCUUGGUCAUUUAGAGGAAGUAAAAGUCGUAACAAGGUUUCCGUAGGUGAACCUGCGGAAGGAUCAUUAAAGAAUCGCCCCGUUUUUUGAAAUGGGUUCUAUUCCCAAACCGUGUAUACAUACCUUUGUUGCUUUGGCAGGCCGCCUUUUAGGCGUCGGCUCCGGCUGACUGCGCCUGCCAGAGGACCCAAACUCGUUUGUUUAGUGAUGUCUGAGUACUAUAUAAUAGUUAAAACUUUCAACAACGGAUCUCUUGGUUCUGGCAUCGAUGAAGAACGCAGCGAAAUGCGAUAAGUAAUGUGAAUUGCAGAAUUCAGUGAAUCAUCGAAUCUUUGAACGCACAUUGCGCCCCUUGGUAUUCCGAGGGGCAUGCCUGUUCGAGCGUCAUUAUAACCACUCAAGCCUCGGCUUGGUCUUGGGGUUCGCGGUCUCGCGUCCCUUAAAAUCAGUGGCGGUGCCGUCUGGCUCUAAGCGUAGUAAUUCUCUCGCUAUAGGGUCCCGGCGGUUGCCUGCCAGAACCCCCCAUUUUUUACGGUUGACCUCGGAUCAGGUAGGGAUACCCGCUGAACUUAAGCAUAUCAAUAAGCGGAGGAA